AUUGAACGCUGGCGGCAGGCCUAACACAUGCAAGUCGAGCGGAUGAGAAGAGCUUGCUCUUCGAUUCAGCGGCGGACGGGUGAGUAAUGCCUAGGAAUCUGCCUGGUAGUGGGGGACAACUUUUCGAAAGGAACGCUAAUACCGCAUACGUCCCACGGGAGAAAGCAGGGGACCUUCGGGCCUUGCGCUAUCAGAUGAGCCUAGGUCGGAUUAGCUAGUUGGUGAGGUAAUGGCUCACCAAGGCGACGAUCCGUAACUGGUCUGAGAGGAUGAUCAGUCACACUGGAACUGAGACACGGUCCAGACUCCUACGGGAGGCAGCAGUGGGGAAUAUUGGACAAUGGGCGAAAGCCUGAUCCAGCCAUGCCGCGUGUGUGAAGAAGGUCUUCGGAUUGUAAAGCACUUUAAGUUGGGAGGAAGGGCAGUAAGUUAAUACCUUGCUGUUUUGACGUUACCGACAGAAUAAGCACCGGCUAACUCUGUGCCAGCCGCCGCCGUAAGAC
rnacentral:rRNA from 1 species